GACCUGUGUGAGAGUACUUGGAGCAGUGACUGCCAUCUGGUGGCAAGCUAAAAUCAUCGCUUUGUGUGACCUAAUUGUUGCUAAGAUGUCCACUCUUCACUCAUGUGGUCUGCAUUGGCAGCCGGGGACCAGGAGAGCCUGGAAGGUGUCUGAUGUAGGAGCCUAGUGAAAUAACUCUCCACUUCCACCUGAAUGGGUUGUUCAUCCCAGAUUCUGACCCAGGAUCCAGCCCCGGAAUGGCACCUCUGAAGGAAAGAUCUGAGUUGCUGUUGUGUUUUAGUCAAAGAUCUGCUGGUUACCUACCAGUGGGUAACCAAGACUGCGAAUAGGCACAUACCAAGAGGGGCAUAUGAUGACAUGGAGCCUGAAAUAAACUGCUCUGAAUUGUGUGACGGUUUUUCUGGUCAGGAGCUGGAACGUAGACCCCUUCAUGAUCUCUGCAGAACUACAAUUACCUCUUCCCACCACAGCAGUAAGACCAUUUCUUCAUUAUCUCCUGCCCUCUUGGGUAUUGUUUGGACUUUCCUAAGCUGUGGACUUCUCCUCAUCGCCUUCUUUCUUGGCUUCACAAUUCGCUGCAGGAAGAACAGGAUUGUGAAGAUGUCCAGUCCCAAUCUGAACAUUGUGACCUUAUUGGGCAGUUGUCUGACUUACAGUAGUGCUUACCUCUUUGGGAUUCACAAUCAAGGUGCUUUAGUGGGAAGUUCAAUGGAAACUCUCAUUCAGAUAAGACUCUCCAUGUUGUGCAUUGGAACCUCCCUGGUAUUUGGCCCCAUUCUUGGGAAGAGCUGGCGACUCUACAAGGUGUUUACCCAGAGGGUUCCGGACAAGAGAGUGAUAAUCAAAGACCUGCAGCUUCUGGGGUUGGUGGCAGCCCUGGUGAUAGCUGAUGUGAUCCUGCUCAUGACUUGGGUGCUGACUGAUCCCAUCCAGUGUCUCCAGAUUCUCAGUGUCAGUAUGACGGUGACAGGGAGAGACGUGUCCUGCUCUCUGACCAGCACACACUUCUGUGCUUCCCGGUACUCCGACGUCUGGAUUGCUCUCAUUUUGGGAUGCAAGGGUCUGCUGCUGCUAUAUGGGGCCUACCUGGCUGGCCUGACUGACCACGUCAGCUCUCCUCCUGUAAAUCAGUCUUUAACCAUCAUGGUUGGGGUCAACCUCGUGGUACUGGCUGCUGGGCUGCUUUUUGUGGUCACCAGAUACCUGUACUCCUGGCCCAACCUAGUUUUCGGACUCACGUCUGGAGGUAUCUUUGUUUGCACAACCACAAUCAACUGCUUCAUCUUUAUUCCCCAGAAAAAUGCUGUGAUUGAAAGCCUGCAAGAACAAGUAAACAAUGCCAGAGAGAAGCUGGUGAGACUGAUGUCAGCAGGGUGCUCCUCUGACCUCCCAGAGGAGGCUGUGCCACCUGCCUCUUCCCACCAUAAGGACAUCCUGGCCGCAGCCUCUGCCCAUAGCCUGGCACCUCAAGGGCCUUCAGAAUGCCUCUCUGACUCUCAGAAUGAUACCAGUGUGGCCACCCAGGACCCCCAGAGUACCUCAGUGCUGGCCUCAAGUGUAGAAGGCCUCAAGGGGCCUGUGAAGGACACCAGCCCCUCCACAGGGCAGAAGCAGAAAAUUUCUGACCUGAAAGACCUUUCUAAUCCUUUACAUUUGGGCUGCAGCCAGAAGCCAUGGGCUGAGCAAAGCCAGACUGCAGAAAGAAGAGACCAGGUACCCAUGGCCCUCCACCAGUGUCUCAUGCAAAGUGAAGAAGGCUCUGUUCCCCAGAGACAUGGGCAGGUAGAGAACUCAGAAGGGCCCCCAGAGCAACUGUCAAGAGUCAAUUCAGUGAUCAGGGAGAAACUUCAGGAAGUCCUCCAAGAUCUGGGCCUGGGCCCUGGGGCUCCCCUCCCCUCUUCCUUGUCUUGUCCCCAGCAGCCCUGGAAAAGCAACGCUGCCCACAGCCCCCAGAAGGUGCCCCUCUCCAAGGAGCCAGGCUUCAGCCCCUCCAUGGUGAGGAGAAGGCGGGCGGCACAGCGGGCUUGCUCACACUUUCUAGGCGCUGUACCCUCCUAUGUGGGGCAUCGGGUAAACAGGGUCAUUACUGGGCAAAAUGUACAGGACAGGGACAGCCCCUGCCUGGACCCCCAAACUGCUGAUCCCAGGGUAGCACGACCCUCUUCUGGGAAUCCGUUAGUACUCCCUGCUCCUCGAGGCAAGCCAGGCGCCCUAGAGGGCCGCACACAGCGCCAGGCAGAGCCCCAGGGAGCCGAACGGAGCCUCACAUCCUUUCCCCAAAAGUCUUCCGGUUCUGGCCGGAAGCUGUGUCCCGCUACCCCACGCCCAUCCAAGGCCUCCCCCGACCUGCCUGGGCAGCGGCAGUCCCCAGGGUCCCCAGGCUGCCCCUCCUUGUCUUCUCCGAGUAGCUACCUUGACACCGAAUCCAGCAGCUCAGACGAGCUCUUCUGCCGCUGCCACCGGCCCUACUGCGAGAUUUGCUUCCAGAGCUCCUCUGACUCCAGUGACAGUGGCUCGUCAGAUACCGACCCUGAACCUGCAGGGGCGCUGGCUUCCUGGGAAAAGCUGUGGGCCCGCUCGAAGCCUAUCGUGAACUUCAAAGAUGAUUUGAAACCCACACUGGUGUGA
rnacentral:lncRNA from 1 species